GGUCGACGAUUGCAGAGUUCUCGGAGUCACGAAGAGUUUGAUCCUGGCUCAGGACGAACGCUGGCGGCGUGCCUAAUACAUGCAAGUCGAACGAAGCUUUCUUUCACCGAAUGCUUGCAUUCACCGAAAGAAAACUUAGUGGCGAACGGGUGAGUAACACGUAGGCAACCUGCCCAAAAGAGGGGGAUAACACUUGGAAACAGGUGCUAAUACCGCAUAACCAUGAACACCGCAUGAUGUUCAUGUAAAAGACGGCUUUUGCUGUCACUUUUGGAUGGGCCUGCGGCGUAUUAACUUGUUGGUGGGGUAACGGCCUACCAAGGUGAUGAUACGUAGCCGAACUGAGAGGUUGAUCGGCCACAUUGGGACUGAGACACGGCCCAAACUCCUACGGGAGGCAGCAGUAGGGAAUCUUCCACAAUGGACGAAAGUCUGAUGGAGCAACGCCGCGUGAAUGAAGAAGGCCUUCGGGUCGUAAAAUUCUGUUGUCAGAGAAGAACGUGUGUGAGAGUAACUGUUCACGUAUUGACGGUAUCUGACCAGAAAGCCACGGCUAACUACGUGCCAGCAGCCGCGGUAAUACGUAGGUGGCAAGCGUUGUCCGGAUUUAUUGGGCGUAAAGGGAACGCAGGCGGUCUUUUAAGUCUGAUGUGAAAGCCUUCGGCUUAACCGAAGUAGUGCAUUGGAAACUGGAAGACUUGAGUGCAGAAGAGGAGAGUGGAACUCCAUGUGUAGCGGUGAAAUGCGUAGAUAUAUGGAAGAACACCAGUGGCGAAAGCGGCUCUCUGGUCUGCAACUGACGCUGAGGUUCGAAAGCGUGGGUAGCAAACAGGAUUAGAUACCCUGGUAGUCCACGCCGUAAACGAUGAGUGCUAAGUGUUGGAGGGUUUCCGCCCUUCAGUGCUGCAGCUAACGCAUUAAGCACUCCGCCUGGGGAGUACGGUCGCAAGACUGAAACUCAAAGGAAUUGACGGGGGCCCGCACAAGCGGUGGAGCAUGUGGUUUAAUUCGAAGCAACGCGAAGAACCUUACCAGGUCUUGACAUCUUCUGACAAUUCCAGAGAUGGAACGUUCCCUUCGGGGACAGAAUGACAGGUGGUGCAUGGUUGUCGUCAGCUCGUGUCGUGAGAUGUUGGGUUAAGUCCCGCAACGAGCGCAACCCUUAUUGUCAGUUGCCAUCAUUAAGUUGGGCACUCUGGCGAGACUGCCGGUGACAAACCGGAGGAAGGUGGGGAUGACGUCAAAUCAUCAUGCCCCUUAUGACCUGGGCUACACACGUGCUACAAUGGACGGUACAACGAGUCGCUAACUCGCGAGGGCAAGCUAAUCUCUUAAAGCCGUUCUCAGUUCGGAUUGCAGGCUGCAACUCGCCUGCAUGAAGUCGGAAUCGCUAGUAAUCGCGAAUCAGCAUGUCGCGGUGAAUACGUUCCCGGGCCUUGUACAUACCGCCCGUCACACCAUGAGAGUUUGUAACACCCAAAGUCGGUGGGGUAACCUUUUGGAGCCAGCCGCCUAAGGUGGGACAGAUGAUUGGGGUGAAGUCGUAACAAGGUAGCCGUAGUCCUGUGUGAAGUGAUCCGC
rnacentral:rRNA from 2 species